rnacentral:sRNA from 1 species
AUCAUCAUGGCGGCGGCCGGGGCCCCGGAUGGCAUGGAGGAACCUGCAUGGACACGGAGGCCGAGACUGUGGCUACUGAGGCUCCCCCGCGGCCCGUCAACUGCCUGGAGGCCGAAGCCGCGGCGGGGGCGGCGGCCGAGGACUCCGGCGCCGCACGAGGCAGCCUGCAGCCGGCCCCGGCCCAGCCCCCUGGGGACCCCGCAGCCCAGGCCUCGGUCAGCAACGGCGAAGACGCGGGCGGCGGCGCGGGCAGGGAGCUGGUGGACUUGAAGAUCAUCUGGAACAAGACCAAGCAUGACGUGAAGUUCCCCCUGGACAGCACAGGCUCCGAGCUGAAACAGAAGAUCCACUCGAUUACAGGUCUCCCGCCUGCCAUGCAGAAAGUCAUGUAUAAGGGACUCGUCCCCGAGGAUAAAACAUUGAGAGAAAUAAAAGUGACCAGUGGGGCCAAGAUCAUGGUGGUUGGCUCCACCAUCAAUGAUGUUUUAGCAGUAAACACACCCAAAGAUGCUGCGCAGCAGGAUGCAAAGGCCGAAGAGAACAAGAAGGAGCCUCUCUGCAGGCAGAAACAACACAGGAAAGUGUUGGAUAAAGGAAAACCUGAAGAUGUGAUGCCAUCUGUUAAGGGUGCCCAGGAGCGCCUGCCAACGGUACCGCUGUCCGGCAUGUACAAUAAAUCUGGAGGAAAAGUGAGACUCACCUUUAAACUAGAACAAGACCAGCUGUGGAUUGGCACUAAAGAUUCCUGGAGGGAACCGAACAUGCCUAAAUCACCUGUUUCUGGCCAGCACUG